rnacentral:lncRNA from 1 species
CUCUCUCUCUCUCUCUGUGCCCUAUCCGGGUAGGACUGCACCAUCAAGAAGACGCGUAACGACGGAUAAGAUCCUAGAUCUGGGUCUGUAGGGAAUCCUAUCGUCACAUCACCAUGUACACAGCUUUUUCUCCGAUGAAUGCUUUCAUUUUUUUCGAGAGUCUGUCUCAUUUUUUCUACAUAACGAGAACGGCACCUUGCUCAUCGGUAGCUCCUCCCCUCCGUCUCUUCUCACCGUCUCCCUGUCUGAAAAAGCUGAUAAAGUUUCAUUUUUUAUCGAGUGGCUCCCUCCCCGCCAUUGAUGGCAUCCAGUGGUGGUCCUGUUUUCAUUUCCUUGUUUAUUUUCAAGAUUGUCUUUUUGAGCGGCAGGUCAAAGUUCUCCGUUCGAGAAAUAUAAUAGGAUGAGGCGCGGAGAUAUCAUCCACGCAGGUCUUCUUCCAUCUAGCGAUCUCUCUCUUCCAGUCUCCUUGCUCGCAUCUUCUUCCGUUUCGGGCACCUUUCUUCUCCAUAUUCUUAGCUGUAGAGAAGGUCACUUGCGUUUAAUGUAUCUUGUCUCUUCCUGCCGUGUUACUUUCCGGAGUGGAUCUCUCUCUCUAUCUCUCUCUCGGUCUUCGUCUCUCGUUUUCUACCUAUGUUUCUACCUUGCUAAUAAAACUCCAGAGCAAGAGUAUCAUUGAGUCUAUGUUAGGGUAGUUAUAUGCUAUUGAUUAUGGAGGCCAACCCACAGACACGCCAUUUAGGAAGAAAAACCAAGACGGGGCUGGAGUUUUGUGUAUUUGUUCAGAUGUUUCGACGGACUUGGAUAAAAUUGAUGGUUUGUAUAAUCAAAGGUCAAGUGGGCUGUAGGAUGCUGACUUUGAUCUAGUGAUUUGUAUAGAUUUUUUCUUAGCUAAGGCACUCCAAGGGUACUCUAAUGGAAAUUUGAUUAUAGGGAUGGGGUUUCAUCUCUUGCGAGAUUGGGGCGAAUGAUCUCACGGUUUGUCUUCAAAGAACUUGCUUGAAUUAAUCGUCAUCUAUCAUAUAUUGGGGGUGUACCAAUUAGGUCAAUAAUGGGGUGAUGCUAAUGUAAGAAGCGCCAGAAAUAAAUCAGAAGGAACAAGAAUAAAAUGUGAUAACUAGAUACUUACAAAGGAAUCGGAGCUCCAAUAAAAUUUGUCUGAGUUUGUUUCUAACCUCAAUCAUACAUAGGCUAAAUUUGGCUUUUCAUUUUGAAAGAAUUUCAUGUUGCAGAAAGUUUGGGAUUUUCUAAAGUGCUCUUGUAGAGCCCUGCUGUUUUGCAUGAGGAUGAUCGAUUAUCCUUUUACUGGUCCUUCGAGGAGGAGCUGGGCCGUUAAAAAUCAGUGGUGCCCUAGUUUCCCGAUUGUUUGGGUGCUGAAAAUGGCUUUCAAUACACUUUUUGAUGAGCUAUCCAAAACUUCAUCAUCUCUUACUGAGGUGUUUUCUCCCCAGACAGUUGACAUGGCUGAUCUUUCGCAUAACUCAAUUCAUAAAGUAAGAUAUUCUACUAGAAGACGUCGAGUGCUUCAUUUUUGCCGAGCAUGUUUGAUUGAAGGGCUGGAUCCAUUGGGUCGGUGGCGUGAGCCUCUGUCCAUUUCUUCGAGACUGGAGUGAUCUGUGCACUCGACAAAAUGCACAGAAGUGGAAUUCGUGUAGUUGACUAGAAGGUCUUAAUUCAGGUAAGCUACACUUUCCAUUCGUUGGUAGAACUAGGGGUUGAAAGAAGUCGGUUAUGAUUUUUAUUUAAGAGAGCGACGAACAUUAUUUAUGUGGGAAUAUGUUUUUAUUUUAUUGAAUGCAAGGAAAAUGGAAAGUUUUCCGAAUUUUAUUGAUCUUUCCCAAUGUAGAAUCGGGUCAGACCUUUUUUAUGGUUUAUCCUGCUCGAUUCAAGUCCUGGGUCGCUAACUUGAUUGGUUUUUGCAAAAUACAUAAGACGUUGAGAAAGCAUAAGAAUGGAUGAUGUCUGAUUGUGGCGUGGAGGUCCCUACCGAUUGCAUGCUUGGGACUCGUCGGAAAUCUGAGUGCUUUAGAGGGUCUGAAUUAAUGUUAAUUUGAGUUAUAUGUUUCCCUCGUCGGUGAUCUUGAUGGGCUCUUUUGAAGCUUGGUUCUGACCUCAGAGAAAUAGGAUUGGAUUAACCGUUUUCUCUUUUCAAGCAUAAUUUUGGCUCACCCCCACGGGGAAAGAACGUGCUCUUUCUAGUCAAUGAGUCAACGCAUGAGGAUGAAAGCAAAAAAGCUUUUAUUUGAUUUUCAGGAAUAACUUUUUUAUUAUCUUCAUGCUUUGGAUUUUCCAGGUGUUGAACCUUCAUGUAGCGUGAGGAAGUUCUUGGCAUCGGUCAACUUUGUCCCAAGAAUUUCAGUCUUCAGGUGCCUAAUUCCUGUGAUGUUCUUACUAUCAUCACGAAUUAUGAUAUCUCUGAACGUCCAUCUCUUGCAAGGCUCUAUUUGGUCUGAAAUUCUGGAUGGAAGUCGAUCGAGCAGUGCGAGAUGUUAUUUAACCUUGUUUAUAUUAUUUUCUUUGGUGAUGUAUAUUUUUUGAAAUAUUACUUCAGGUUAAAAUAUAUUUUAAUUGAUGUAAAAUAUUGCUGGCUUAAAGUGGGUCCCAACGCAACUAAGUUUGUAGAAAUAUGAUGAUCAUGUUAAAAUAUAAUCUAAAACAAAUUUAUGAUUAGAUGAAUUUGUAAUUAAGGAACAUUAUCGCGGCAGAUUUCUAUUCAUGUUCAUUGGCAAGAACUUAAUCAAGUUAUCAAUCAUACCAAGGAUGUAGUCCCAAGAGUGUGGUUUAUUAAGGAGCGAGAUGUUUUAUAAUACUUUUUAAAAAUCCACCGCUCUUGCAUCUCGAGAGGAGACAUAAUGCCAAUUAUGCGGUGGAUGUUGACAAGAAGGAAUGUCGCCCCAAGGGGACUUUAGAAAUCCAUGGCAGUAGGAGUUAGUUGUAGUCAACUGUGGAGAUGGUGAUGAAAGAAACAUGAACACUAGGGCCUUUCUUUGUCAAACCGAAUAAGCUGAUUUUGAUGACCAAAAAUCUCAAAUAAUUGACUUUUUUUAUUUUUUGUAUUUUUUGGUCAAAUCAUUGCGAGUUAUUUCUUGCUAAAAUAACUUGAAAAAUUCACAGUAUAGUAUAGUAGGGUGUACUUGAACUUCUUCCUAACAUGUUAUUAAUGGAAUGAUUGGCUCGUUUAUACUGUUCUUCGCUUCCAUGAAUUGACUCGAAUUUAUCCCUUGAAAAGGCAUGCAAGUUUGAAAUUGUUAACACCUGCAUGCCAUGCACGUGAGGUUUUAGUGUUAAUAAGAAAUAUUUUAAUUGUGCCGCUGUUUUAUUAUCUUCAUUGGGGCUGGCAAGUAGGAAUUCAUAAGAUGACUAGUUUGUGUUCUAUAUAUCGUACGGAGAUAAAGUUAACAUAAAAUUAUUCUUGAAAUUUUUUCCCAGAUGCCCAUGACUUUGUUUUUUAAAAUGCUGUGUCAUGACCUCACGUUUUGAUGUGCAUGCUGAAUGAUGGAGUGCGUAGAUGUUUCGUAAUGCAUUGGCUGACUUUGCCGGCAUCUCGGAUGCUCACUCGAUCCGAUAGCGGUUUUUUUUUUUUAAUCGACGUCUUGCGAUGCUCUUUGCAGGCCAAAGGAUUUGGAUUGAGCGUUAAUUUGGGGGGGGGGAGACCUCGUCAACGUGGCAGUACUUGGGAGUCAUCAGGUCAGCGCCCAGAACAGAUCUUCGGAGUACUUGUAGCCACACGGGUCAACGGCGAUCGGCGGAAUUCAGCGUUGGCCAACGAUUCAACGAUGAGAUCGGACCGUUCUGUUCAUCAUUUUGGAGUCACACCACGGUUUCCUUACACCGUAUCCUCUGCUUAAAGUAGAUGAGGAUGGGCCAGUGGUCUGGGACUUAUGUCACAGGGAGAGGGAGAGAGAGAGAGAGAGAGAGAGAGAGAGAGAGAGAGANNNNN